CAGUCGCCGCGGUAAUACGAAGGGGGCUAGCGUUGCUCGGAAUCACUGGGCGUAAAGGGUGCGUAGGCGGGUUUUUAAGUCAGAGGUGAAAUCCUGGAGCUCAACUCCAGAACUGCCUUUGAUACUGAAAGUCUUGAGUAUGGGGGAGGUGAGUGGAACUGCGAGUGUAGAGGUGAAAUUCGUAGAUAUUCGCAAGAACACCAGUGGCGAAGGCGGCUCACUGGCCCAUAACUGACGCUGAGGCACGAAAGCGUGGGGAGCAAACAGGAUUAGAUACCCGCGUAGUCCCUGUCUCUUAUAC
rnacentral:rRNA from 1 species